UAGGAUAUUUCCAUUUUCUUUUUGCCUGACAAGAUCCACCUCCAUGAAACGUGAGCCCUAAUAAAUAAUAGGGCACUCUGUGGACAGAAAAGACUAGACUUAUCACUUCUUGCAUGGUGCUGAAAACAGAAGAGCAGUAUCUGCAUGAAGAUCCUUCAAAGAACAUCAAGACUAGCAUGAUCUUUCUGUAAAUAUCCUCUUAUUCYGUGGCUGUCAUUAGAGGACCUGGAUCAGGCUGUGCUGCCCAGUCUCCAAUACCAUCAUCACUUAGAGCUAACAUGGCAUGGUGCCAGGUGAGAUUUUGGAGGAACUGAUGUAUCAUUAGAAGUUUUCCUCAUGCAGCAGAAAUGGACUACACCUUAUGGCUAGUGGCAGUCAUGGAUUUUUGUGUUUACCUCCUUCAUAUACCUCACUGGUUGCAACCAUACACACCUGUGACAGGGAAGCAUCUUAUGUCUCAGGGGAAGCAAGGGACGGUACUGCCUGCUGGCCUGCAUAAGAUGCUGGAAGGCUCUGUUAGCAUGGAGGCACGUGAUGAGGAAACCUGUGCUAACACAGGAACUUCCAUGGGGAAGAGAGAGUUUUCAAUGAGGGCACCUGCAGUCAGAGUACAGGCAAGCACUGCCUACAGCCUCUAACGCUCUGACACUCGCUGCAUUCACUAGAGACCUUCUAUYGCUCCUUCUCAAACACAGAUCAUCUGCCCGUGAGCAGAGAUUAUUGGUGUUCUUCAAUCUGAACUCACAGCUGGAGCCUUCAUCUUGGAAACGGGCAUGGUUCCACAUAACAAGACCAGAUGCWAGAACAAAUUGAGCAAAAACCUAAUAAUCAAGCAUCUAAAUAGGGGCAAUGCAUUAACCAUGGUUUGAGAAGAACUGCUAGUCAAACAGCAUCCAGUGAGCACCAUAGGGGAAAUCCAGGGAAACAUUCCUGCCCCGUUACCCUUUCAGCACAUCACACUGAGGGGCUGUGUGGGAAGCACCUUUGCCACUGCAGACAGCAGGGGAGCUGGAAUGCRCUGGCCAGGUGACCCUGCGGCCACUUUUCUGCCUGUAUUGAGCCACCAUGUGCAGGCAGGRACAUGGUGGCCCACCCCAACCUGUGGCUGCCAGCUCUGUGACCCAGCUCUGAGUCUAGCAGCUCUUCAGUCAUUGGGAGAAGUUUCCUUUCCAGUUUACAUGGCAGAGAAGGCUGUGUUUGAUGAGCCAGUUAAACAGUAUCCUCUACCUGUUGCCCCAGGAAAGGCAUUCAUGUGAAGGACAGUUUCCUCAAAUGCUUGCUGAAGACCAUGCCUGACAGCUCUCCAGAAUACAGGCCAAUACCAGGGACUGUAGAUCCCAGCACUCAGUGCAUGUUUGCUGGCUGAUCUGCAUGAGGCAAGUGGUCAACCCUCCACCUCUGUCUUCUGGAACURACACAGCCCUGCUGGGAGGAUUACACCAACAAAUUCAUCAUUGCUGCAGCAAGCAUCACUGUCACCACUACUGCGAUCUGGAAAGCUGCUGCCAACUGCAGCUGAACCACUACAUCUGCUUGGCCAGCUCCCAUGGCCAGCGGAGGCUGCUGGAGUGCAGACUUGUGCUCCC